rnacentral:rRNA from 1 species
UACGUAGGCAGCGAGCGUUGUUCGGAGUUACUGGGCGUAAAGAGUGCGUAGGCGGUUUUCUAAGUUUGGUGUGAAAUCUCCCGGCUUAACUGGGAGGGUGCGCCGAAAACUGGAAGGCUUGAGUAUGGGAGAGGUAAGCGGAAUUCCUGGUGUAGCGGUGAAAUGCGUAGAUAUCGGGAGGAACACCUGAGGCGAAGGCGGGCUACUGGGCCGAUACUGACGCUGAGGCGCGAAAGCCAGGGGAGCGAACGGG